AACAUUCUAGAAACACUUUCCAGUACCUCUACUUUGUUACGACUUAUUCCAACUUAUAUAUGAAAGUGACGGGCAAUAUGUACAUAUUUUAAUUUUUAAUCAUUUUAAAAAAUUAAAUAAAAUUACUUUUAAAUCCACCCUGAAUAAAUUUUUACAAAUUCAUAUUCAUUUAAAUAAAUUUAUUGUAAUCCAUUAUAUUCUUAAUUAUAAACUGCAUCUUGAUCUGAUUUAAUUUUAAAUUUAAAUUUUUAAAUAUUAUUAUUAUUUUAAAAUAUUUUUUUAACAACGAUAUACAAAUUAUUAAAUUAAGUAAAUUUAUUCGUGGAAUAUCAAUUAUUAAACAGAUUCCUCUAAAUGAACUAAAAUACCGCCAAUUUAUUUAAGUUUCAAUAAAAAAUUAAUUACUAUUUUAGUAUUUUAAAUUUAAAUUUUUCAUAAUAGGGUAUCUAAUCCUAGUUUUUUUUAAAAUUUAUUAAUUAUCAUAAAUAAAAAUUUAAUUUUUUAUUAAAUUAAAAUUUCACCUAAUAAUUUAAAUUUUUAAUUAAUUUCAUUUUAUUUAUAAAUUAAUAACUAAAAAAAUUUAUUUUAAAUUUUGUUUAACCGCAACUGCUGGCACAAAAUUAGUUUUUAAUUUUUAUAUUACUAAAUCUUAAUUUCUUAAAUUUUUAAUAUUAAUUACUACUAAUAAUAAAUAUUUUAUUAUUAAAAUAAAAUAUUCACUAAAAUUUAUAUGUAAAAUAAAUUCAAAAUAAAUUACCUAAACCAUAAAAAUUUAUU
rnacentral:rRNA from 1 species